rnacentral:rRNA from 1 species
AUUGAACGCUGGCGGCAGGCUUAACACAUGCAAGUCGAGCGGAGAUGAGGUGCUUGCACCUUAUCUUAGCGGCGGACGGGUGAGUAAUGCUUAGGAAUCUGCCUAUUAGUGGGGGACAACAUUCCGAAAGGAAUGCUAAUACCGCAUACGUCCUACGGGAGAAAGCAGGGGAUCUUCGGACCUUGCGCUAAUAGAUGAGCCUAAGUCGGAUUAGCUAGUUGGUGGGGUAAAGGCCUACCAAGGCGACGAUCUGUAGCGGGUCUGAGAGGAUGAUCCGCCACGCUGGGACUGAAACACGGCCCAGACUCCUACGGGAGGCAGCAGUGGGGGAUAUUGGACAAUGGGCGGAAGCCUGAUCCAGCCAUGCCGCGUGUGUGAAGAAGGCCUUUUGGUUGUAAAGCACUUUAAGCGAGGAGGAGGCUACCUAGAUUAAUACUCUGGGAUAGUGGACGUUACUCGCAGAAUAAGCACCGGCUAACUCUGUGCCAGCCGCCGCCGUAAAAC